ACUUAGGGCCGGCUCAACAUUAUU
rnacentral:siRNA from 1 species